rnacentral:rRNA from 1 species
AUGAGAAGCCCGUCUCUCCCCAUCAUGGUAUGCCCGUUUUGCAAUAACGGGAUGGUUCCAUGCUGGGUUUCUCGCACCAAAACCAAUCCAGGGAAGAACUUUGACAGUUGCGAGCAUGAGCGGUCUUGCAAAUGCAACUUCUGGAAAUGUGAAGAAAACUACAUCAAGGUUAUACGCGCUAAGUGGCCAAGGCUAUUCCCUGUUCCAUCUCGCGAAGACCGCAAAUUCCACCGCUGCAUCAUCGCUCUUCUGAUACUCAUUCUAUUUUCAGUGAUGUUCAUUUGCUGCAAAGUCGCUUGA